rnacentral:rRNA from 1 species
GAUGAACGCUGGCGGCGUGCCUAAUACAUGCAAGUCGAGCGAACAGACGAGGAGCUUGCUCCUCUGACGUUAGCGGCGGACGGGUGAGUAACACGUGGAUAACCUACCUAUAAGACUGGGAUAACUUCGGGAAACCGGAGCUAAUACCGGAUAAUAUAUUGAACCGCAUGGUUCAAUAGUGAAAGACGGUUUUGCUGUCACUUAUAGAUGGAUCCGCGCCGCAUUAGCUAGUUGGUAAGGUAACGGCUUACCAAGGCAACGAUGCGUAGCCGACCUGAGAGGGUGGUCGGCCACACUGGAACUGAGACACGGGCCAGACUCCUAAGGGAGGCAGCAGUAGGGAAUCUUCCGCCAUGGGCGGAAGCCUGACGGAGCAACGCCGCGUGAGUGAUGAAGGUCUUCGGAUCGUAAAACUCUGUUAUUAGGGAAGAACAAAUGUGUAAGUAACUAUGCACGUCUUGACGGUACCUAAUCAGAAAGCCACGGCUAACUACGUG